rnacentral:rRNA from 1 species
ACGGAGGGUGCAAGCGUUAUCCGGAUUUAUUGGGUUUAAAGGGUCCGUAGGUGGGCUGAUAAGUCAGCGGUGAAAUCCUGCAGCUUAACUGUAGAACUGCCGUUGAUACUGUUAGUCUUGAGUGUAUUUGAAGUGGCUGGAAUAAGUAGUGUAGCGGUGAAAUGCAUAGAUAUUACUUAGAACACCAAUUGCGAAGGCAGGUCACUAAGAUACAACUGACGCUGAGGGACGAAAGCGUGGGGAGCGAACAGG